UAAGCCGUUGAAGGUGUCCUGUGAGGGGUGCUGGAGGUAUCAGAAGUGCGAAUGCUGACAUAAGUAACGAUAAAGCGGGUGAAAAGCCCGCUCGCCGGAAGACCAAGGGUUCCUGUCCAACGUUAAUCGGGGCAGGGUGAGUCGACCCCUAAGGCGAGGCCGAAAGGCGUAGUCGAUGGGAAACGGGUUAAUAUUCCCGUACUUGGUGUUACUGCGAAGGGGGGACGGAGAAGGCUAUGUUGGCCGGGCGACGGUUGUCCCGGUUUAAGCGUGUAGGUGUGUGUUCCAGGUAAAUC
rnacentral:rRNA from 1 species